rnacentral:piRNA from 1 species
CAAACUCAAGAGAUUGCCUACCUGAAUGC